CUUGAGUGUGCAAUCACAUAAAUAGUCUGGAGAUUUUGGAGAGGGAUGGAAUAUUUGAAUCAAUGUUUCCAGAAAAUUAAAGGGAUAAAUGGAUGUUACACUGCAUGUUGUGCUCUCAGCAGAUUAAGCAUCUCAACAGUUUUGACCUGAAGAAACAAUGAUCAUCUCUCCUUGGGAGGGAGGAUGGAGUGACAAAAUCUGGAGGCACUGUAUCUCUUCGUUGUCAAAGCAAGCUAUGAAGUCUUGUGCCUUCCAGCCAAAACCACUGGGAGUAAGCAGUGUCCUUCACAGAAAGCAAAAUCUGUAAGAGAAGGUGGUGGUGAGGAACAGCAACCUUCUUGCCCAGGGGAUGUGUGCUGCCCUGCAUCUUGGGUCUCCUGUGUCUCCUGGAAUUGAUGCAACUUCUUUUCUCACCUCUGUCAGCAACCACAGCAAUGAAGUAGGCAGAGACUUUCUAAGGUCUGGCUCCUUAUAUACUGUGACUUAAAUUCUGCUGAAGGAGUCUCACCAAGGCAUCUCACAAGGUUAUUUUGGGAGCUGCAUCUCGCUCUUGAUAGGCUUCACUGCCAACCAGGUGGUUUGUACUUCUUGGGAUCUCUAUCCUUGUUUGUUUUUGCUGGAAGUCUUCAGCUGUGAGCUGCACGGGGAAUGAGCUGAAGUGAGAGGAUCAUUUUAAAUACAAUAAAACUGUUUUCAUCAUUCA